rnacentral:rRNA from 1 species
CCGGCACGGGUGAGUAACGCGUAUGCAACCUACCUAUCAGGAGGGGAUAACCCGGCGAAAGUCGGACUAAUACCGCAUAAAACAGGGGUUCCACAUGGAAAUAUUUGUUAAAGAAUUAUCGCUGAUAGAUGGGCAUGCGUUCCAUUAGAUAGUUGGUGAGGUAACGGCUCACCAAGUCCACGAUGGAUAGGGGUUCUGAGAGGAAGGUCCCCCACACUGGUACUGAGACACGGACCAG